rnacentral:rRNA from 1 species
AUUGAACGCUGGCGGCAUGCUUUACACAUGCAAGUCGAACGGUAACAGGUUAAGCUGACGAGUGGCGAACGGGUGAGUAAUGCAUCGGAACGUGCCCGGUCGUGGGGGAUAACGCAGCGAAAGCUGCGCUAAUACCGCAUACGAUCUGAGGAUGAAAGCGGGGGACCGUAAGGCCUCGCGCGAUCGGAGCGGCCGAUGUCAGAUUAGGUAGUUGGUGGGGUAAAGGCCUACCAAGCCGACGAUCUGUAGCUGGUCUGAGAGGACGACCAGCCACACUGGGACUGAGACACGGCCCAGACUCCUACGGGAGGCAGCAGUGGGGAAUUUUGGACAAUGGGCGCAAGCCUGAUCCAGCAAUGCCGCGUGCAGGAAGAAGGCCUUCGGGUUGUAAACUGCUUUUGUACGGAGCGAAAAGGCUCUCUCUAAUACAGGGGGCUCAUGACGGUACCGUAAGAAUAAGCACCGGCUAACUACGUGCCAGCCGCCGCGGUAACAC